rnacentral:rRNA from 1 species
GGCUCAGGAUGAACGCUAGCUACAGGCUUAACACAUGCAAGUCGAGGGGCAGCAUUUUAGUUUGCUUGCAAACUGAAGAUGGCGACCGGCGCACGGGUGAGUAACACGUAUCCAACCUGCCGAUAACUCCGGAAUAGCCUUUCGAAAGAAAGAUUAAUACCGGAUAGCAUACGAAUAUCGCAUGAUAUUUUUAUUAAAGAAUUUCGGUUAUCGAUGGGGAUGCGUUCCAUUAGUUUGUUGGCGGGGUAACGGCCCACCAAGACUACGAUGGAUAGGGGUUCUGAGAGGAAGGUCCCCCACAUUGGAACUGAGACACGGUCCAAACUCCUACGGGAGGCAGCAGUGAGGAAUAUUGGUCAAUGGGCGAGAGCCUGAACCAGCCAAGUAGCGUGAAGGAUGAAGGCUCUAUGGGUCGUAAACUUCUUUUAUAUGGGAAUAAAGUUUUCCACGUGUGGAAUUUUGUAUGUACCAUAUGAAUAAGGAUCGGCUAACUCCGUGCCAGCAGCCGCGGUAAUACGGAGGAUCCGAGCGUUAUCCGGAUUUAUUGGGUUUAAAGGGAGCGUAGGUGGAUUGUUAAGUCAGUUGUGAAAGUUUGCGGCUCAACCGUAAAAUUGCAGUUGAAACUGGCAGUCUUGAGUACAGUAGAGGUGGGCGGAAUUCGUGGUGUAGCGGUGAAAUGCUUAGACAUCACGAAGAACUCCGAUUGCGAAGGCAGCUCACUAGACUGUCACUGACACUGAUGCUCGAAAGUGUGGGUAUCAAACAGGAUUAGAUACCCUGGUAGUCCACACAGUAAACGAUGAAUACUCGCUGUUUGCGAUAUACAGUAAGCGGCCAAGCGAAAGCAUUAAGUAUUCCACCUGGGGAGUACGCCGGCAACGGUGAAACUCAAAGGAAUUGACGGGGGCCCGCACAAGCGGAGGAACAUGUGGUUUAAUUCGAUGAUACGCGAGGAACCUUACCCGGGCUUAAAUUGCAACAGAAUAUAUUGGAAACAGUAUAGCCGUAAGGCUGUUGUGAAGGUGCUGCAUGGUUGUCGUCAGCUCGUGCCGUGAGGUGUCGGCUUAAGUGCCAUAACGAGCGCAACCCUUAUCUUUAGUUACUAACAGGUCAUGCUGAGGACUCUAGAGAGACUGCCGUCGUAAGAUGUGAGGAAGGUGGGGAUGACGUCAAAUCAGCACGGCCCUUACGUCCGGGGCUACACACGUGUUACAAUGGGGGGUACAGAAGGCGGCUACCUGGUGACAGGAUGCUAAUCCCAAAAACCUCUCUCAGUUCGGAUCGAAGUCUGCAACCCGACUUCGUGAAGCUGGAUUCGCUAGUAAUCGCGCAUCAGCCAUGGCGCGGUGAAUACGUUCCCGGGCCUUGUACACACCGCCCGUCAAGCCAUGAAAGCCGGGGGUACCUGAAGUACGUAACCGCAAGGAGCGUCCUAGGGUAAAACUGGUAA